rnacentral:rRNA from 2 species
AGUCGAACGAACUCUGGUAUUGAUUGGUGCUUGCAUCAUGAUUUACAUUUGAGUGAGUGGCGAACUGGUGAGUAACACGUGGGAAACCUGCCCAGAAGCGGGGGAUAACACCUGGAAACAGAUGCUAAUACCGCAUAACAACUUGGACCGCAUGGUCCGAGUUUGAAAGAUGGCUUCGGCUAUCACUUUUGGAUGGUCCCGCGGCGUAUUAGCUAGAUGGUGAGGUAACGGCUCACCAUGGCAAUGAUACGUAGCCGACCUGAGAGGGUAAUCGGCCACAUUGGGACUGAGACACGGCCCAAACUCCUACGGGAGGCAGCAGUAGGGAAUCUUCCACAAUGGACGAAAGUCUGAUGGAGCAACGCCGCGUGAGUGAAGAAGGGUUUCGGCUCGUAAAACUCUGUUGUUAAAGAAGAACAUAUCUGAGAGUAACUGUUCAGGUAUUGACGGUAUUUAACCAGAAAGCCACGGCUAACUACGUGCCAGCAGCCGCGGUAAUACGUAGGUGGCAAGCGUUGUCCGGAUUUAUUGGGCGUAAAGCGAGCGCAGGCGGUUUUUUAAGUCUGAUGUGAAAGCCUUCGGCUCAACCGAAGAAGUGCAUCGGAAACUGGGAAACUUGAGUGCAGAAGAGGACAGUGGAACUCCAUGUGUAGCGGUGAAAUGCGUAGAUAUAUGGAAGAACACCAGUGGCGAAGGCGGCUGUCUGGUCUGUAACUGACGCUGAGGCUCGAAAGUAUGGGUAGCAAACAGGAUUAGAUACCCUGGUAGUCCAUACCGUAAACGAUGAAUGCUAAGUGUUGGAGGGUUUCCGCCCUUCAGUGCUGCAGCUAACGCAUUAAGCAUUCCGCCUGGGGAGUACGGCCGCAAGGCUGAAACUCAAAGGAAUUGACGGGGGCCCGCACAAGCGGUGGAGCAUGUGGUUUAAUUCGAAGCUACGCGAAGAACCUUACCAGGUCUUGACAUACUAUGCAAAUCUAAGAGAUUAGACGUUCCCUUCGGGGACAUGGAUACAGGUGGUGCAUGGUUGUCGUCAGCUCGUGUCGUGAGAUGUUGGGUUAAGUCCCGCAACGAGCGCAACCCUUAUUAUCAGUUGCCAGCAUUAAGUUGGGCACUCUGGUGAGACUGCCGGUGACAAACCGGAGGAAGGUGGGGAUGACGUCAAAUCAUCAUGCCCCUUAUGACCUGGGCUACACACGUGCUACAAUGGAUGGUACAACGAGUUGCGAACUCGCGAGAGUAAGCUAAUCUCUUAAAGCCAUUCUCAGUUCGGAUUGUAGGCUGCAACUCGCCUACAUGAAGUCGGAAUCGCUAGUAAUCGCGGAUCAGCAUGCCGCGGUGAAUACGUUCCCGGGCCUUGUACACACCGCCCGUCACACCAUGAGAGUUUGUAACACCCAAAGUCGGUGGGGUAACCUUUUAGGAACCAGCCGCCUAAGGUGGGACAGAUGAUUAGGGUGAAGUCGUAACAAG